rnacentral:rRNA from 1 species
GACGAACGCUGGCGGCGUGCUUAACACAUGCAAGUCGAACGGUGAAGCGCUUAGGAGGGGCUCCGUGGCGUACGGGUGGGUAACUCGUGGGCAACUUGCUCACGGACCUGGGAUAACUCCAAGAAAUUGGGGCACAUAACCGAUGUUCACCGCAUCCCGCCUGGGUGGUGGUGCAAAGGGUUUCCGGGUGGGGGUGGGCACGUGGCCUAUCAGCCUGCUGGUGGGGUAGUGGCCUUCCAAGGCGACGGCGGGAAGGCGGCCAGGGGUGGUGACCGGCCACACUGGGUCCGAGGCGCGGCACAGGCUCCUACGGGAGGCAACAGUGGGGAAUAUUGCGGAAUGGGCGGAGGCCUGACGAAGCGACGCCGCGUGUGGGAAGACGGCCUUCGGGUUGUAAACCUCUUUCAGCAGUGACGAAGCGCGAGUGACGGUACCUGCAGAAGAAGCCCCGGCCAACUACGUG